rnacentral:pre_miRNA from 1 species
UCUUGAGAGACUCUUGAAGUGCUUUGAUUCUCACACUUCUGAGGCUCUUUCGACA